UUAAAUUAAAGAGUUUGAUCAUGGCUCAGAUUGAACGCUGGCGGCAGGCCUAACACAUGCAAGUCGAAC
rnacentral:rRNA from 1 species